UGAUACUAAGCCAUGCGAGUCAUUGUAGCAAUACAAGGCAUACGGCUCAGUAACGCGUAGUCAACCUAACCUAUGGAUGGGAAUAACCUCGGGAAACUGAGAAUAAUGCCCGAUAGAACAUUAUGCCUGGAAUGGUUUAUGUUCCAAAUGAUUUAUCGCCGUAGGAUGGGACUGCGGCCUAUCAGUUUGUUGGUGAGGUAAUGGCCCACCAAGACUAUUACAGGUACGGGCUCUGAGAGGAGUAGCCCGGAGAUGGGUACUGAGACACGGACCCAGGCCCUAUGGGGCGCAGCAGGCGAGAAAACUUUGCAAUGUGCGAAAGCACGACAAGGUUAAUCCGAGUGGUUUCUGCUAAAGGAACCUUUUGUCAGUCCUAGAAACACUGAUGAAUAAGGGGUGGGCAAGUUCUGGUGUCAGCCGCCGCGGUAAAACCAGCACCUCAAGUGGUCAGGAUGAUUAUUGGGCCUAAAGCAUCCGUAGCCGGCUCUGUAAGUUUUCGGUUAAAUCUGUACGCUCAACGUACAGGCUGCCGGGAAUACUGCAAAGCUAGGGAGUGGGAGAGGUAGACGGUACUCGGUAGGAAGGGGUAAAAUCCUUUGAUCUAUUGAUGACCACCUGUGGCGAAGGCGGUCUACCAGAACACGUCCGACGGUGAGGGAUGAAAGCUGGGGGAGCAAACCGGAUUAGAUACCCGGGUAGUCCCAGCUGUAAACCAUGCAAACUCAGUGAUGCAUUGGCUUGUGGCCAAUGCAGUGCUGCAGGGAAGCCGUUAAGUUUGCCGCCUGGGAAGUACGUACGCAAGUAUGAAACUUAAAGGAAUUGGCGGGGGAGCACCACAAGGGGUGAAGCCUGCGGUUCAAUUGG
rnacentral:rRNA from 1 species